GAAUCCUCUGCUCUCUGCCCCUAGAAUUCCCUGUUCUCCUCACCCCAGUCUUUCCCUCAGAGCAGCCACACAGCCAUCCCAACGGGAAAACCAAGGCGGUCGUUCCUGGCAGAGCCCAUCCAGAGUCCAAAUUCCCCAGUUUCUCUCUCAGGCUCCUGGCAGACCCUGGCAGCCCUGGCACUCCUACAACAGGACUACUAUCGCUGCUGUCACAGAUGCGGGCAAAACCAGGAAACAUCACGUGCAAAUUAGAUGCAGCCCUCAAGAUCCUGGCAAGCUGCCAGCUCGAAUCCCCUGACUGAGCAGAGUUGAGGAUUUCUCUCUGGGCUUGUAUUAAAGCUAAUCAGCAGACACAUUUCCAAGUCCCUGUAGCAGCUCAUCUUCGUCUGGGUAAACGCUGACCUCUGGAUGUAUGGA